rnacentral:misc_RNA from 1 species
GAAAUGCGAUAAGUAGUGUGAAUUGCAGAAUUCUGUGAAUCAUCGAAUCUUUGAACGCACAUUGCGCCCUUUGGUAUUCCAAAGGGCAUGCCUGUUCGAGCGUCAUUUGAACCCUCAAGCAUUGCUUGGUGUUGGGCGUUUGUCCCCCCCGUUGGGGAGGACUCGCCUUAAAACGAUUGGCAGCCGGCACACUGGUAUUGAAGCGCAGCACAAAACGCGCUCCUGUCCUUGCGUGCCCGCGUCCAUGAAGCUCACCUAUUCACUUUUGACCUCGGAUCAGGUAGGGAUACCCGCUGAACUUAAGC